GCCUGCAGCCAUUUAACCUCAAGCUGCAAUCCAGAAACCUUGCAGGCAAUGUGGGGAUGGGCUGGGUUAGUACUUGGAUGGGAGACCACCAAAGAAAACCCAGUCAGAAGUGGGCA
rnacentral:rRNA from 1 species